rnacentral:rRNA from 1 species
CCCCCACAUUGGUACUGAGACACGGACCAAACUCCUACGGGAGGCAGCAGUGAGGAAUAUUGGUCAAUGGCCGAGAGGCUGAACCAGCCAAGUCGCGUGAGGGAUGAAGGUUCUAUGGAUCGUAAACCUCUUUUAUAAGGGAAUAAAGUGCGGGACGUGUCCCGUUUUGUAUGUACCUUAUGAAUAAGGAUCGGCUAACUCCGUGCCAGCAGCCGCGGUAAUACGGAGGAUCCGAGCGUUAUCCGGAUUUAUUGGGUUUAAAGGGUGCGUAGGCGGCCUUUUAAGUCAGCGGUGAAAGUCUGUGGCUCAACCAUAGAAUUGCCGUUGAAACUGGGGGGCUUGAGUAUGUUUGAGGCAGGCGGAAUGCGUGGUGUAGCGGUGAAAUGCAUAGAUAUCACGCAGAACCCCGAUUGCGAAGGCAGCCUGCCAAGCCAUGACUGACGCUGAUGCACGAAAGCGUGGGGAUCAAACAGGAUUAGAUACCCUGGUAGUCCACGCAGUAAACGAUGAUCACUAGCUGUUUGCGAUACACUGUAAGCGGCACAGCGAAAGCGUUAAGUGAUCCACCUGGGGAGUACGCCGGCAACGGUGAAACUCAAAGGAAUUGACGGGGGCCCGCACAAGCGGAGGAACAUGUGGUUUAAUUCGAUGAUACGCGAGGAACCUUACCCGGGUUUGAACGCAUUCGGACCGAGGUGGAAACACCUUUUCUAGCAAUAGCCGUUUGCGAGGUGCUGCAUGGUUGUCGUCAGCUCGUGCCGUGAGGUGUCGGCUUAAGUGCCAUAACGAGCGCAACCCUUGCCACUAGUUACUAACAGGUAAAGCUGAGGACUCUGGUGGGACUGCCAGCGUAAGCUGCGAGGAAGGCGGGGAUGACGUCAAAUCAGCACGGCCCUUACAUCCGGGGCGACACACGUGUUACAAUGGCGUGGACAAAGGGAGGCCACCUGGUGACAGGGAGCGAAUCCCCAAACCACGUCUCAGUUCGGAUCGGAGUCUGCAACCCGACUCCGUGAAGCUGGAUUCGCUAGUAAUCGCGCAUCAGCCAUGGCGCGGUGAAUACGUUCCCGGGCCUUGUACACACCGCCCGUCAAGCCAUGGGAGCCGGGGGUACCUGAAGUCCGUAACCGCGAGGAUCGGCCUAGGGUAAAACUGGUGACUGGGGCUAAGUCGUAACAAGGUAGCCGUACCGGAAGGUGCGGCUG